rnacentral:rRNA from 1 species
ACGAACGCUGGCGGCGUGCCUAAUACAUGCAAGUCGAGCGGACCGACGGGAGCUUGCUCCCUUAGGUCAGCGGCGGACGGGUGAGUAACACGUGGGUAACCUGCCUGUAAGACUGGGAUAACUCCGGGAAACCGUGGCUAAUACCGGAUGCUUGAUUGAACCGCAUGGUUCAAUCAUAAAAGGUGGCUUUUAGCUACCACUUGCAGAUGGACCCGCGGCGCAUUAGCUAGUUGGUGAGGUAACGGCUCACCAAGGCGACGAUGCGUAGCCGACCUGAGAGGGUGAUCGGCCACACUGGGACUGAGACACGGCCCAGACUCCUACGGGAGGCAGCAGUAGGGAAUCUUCCGCAAUGGACGAAAGUCUGACGGAGCAACGCCGCGUGAGUGAUGAAGGUUUUCGGAUCGUAAAACUCUGUUGUUAGGGAAGAACAAGUACCGUUCGAAUAGGGCGGUACCUUGACGGUACCUAACCAGAAAGCCACGGCUAACUACGUGCCAGCAGCCGCGGUAAUACGUAGGUGGCAAGCGUUGUCCGGAAUUAUUGGGCGUAAAGCGCGCGCAGGCGGUUUCUUAAGUCUGAUGUGAAAGCCCCCGGCUCAACCGGGGAGGGUCAUUGGAAACUGGGGAACUUGAGUGCAGAAGAGGAGAGUGGAAUUCCACGUGUAGCGGUGAAAUGCGUAGAGAUGUGGAGGAACACCAGUGGCGAAGGCGACUCUCUGGUCUGUAACUGACGCU